CAGCAGCCACGGUAAUACGAAGGGUGCAAGCGUUGCUCGGAAUUACUGGGCGUAAAGGGCGCGUAGGCGGACAUUUAAGUCAGAGGUGAAAGCCCAGGGCUCAACCUUGGAACUGCCUUUGAUACUGGGUGUCUAGAGUGCGGGAGAGGUGUGUGGAACUCCGAGUGUAGAGGUGAAAUUCGUAGAUAUUCGGAAGAACACCAGUGGCGAAGGCGACACACUGGCCCGUAACUGACGCUGAGGCGCGAAAGCGUGGGGAGCAAACAGGAUUAGAUACCCCCGUAGUCCCUGUCUCUUAUAC
rnacentral:rRNA from 1 species